UGCAUGCUGCUGGAAAUCUUUGUGUUUGUGUGUGCGAGUGUAUGUAGAGAAGUGUUACUGGGUUGUCCCUCUGAGGGACCUUUUGACAGAGUGUGUGCAGACUAGGAAAAGUGUCUAUCUCAUGGAAACCUUAAAAUGCACCACAGUGGUGAAUGUUUCAGUGUAGGGCUGAAAACAAAGACUGUGGACUGUGUAUUUGGUUCUGAGUCUCACUUGUACAACAGUGACACUGUCACCUGGCUCAUAUGGAUUCCAUGAAAGCCUGGAGUGAGGGACAAGAUGGCAAAGCAUGAUCCACUCAUGCCUGAAGGAAGGAUUUUCUCUGUGAUUAAAAGAGAGUGAGAGACAGGGAUGGGGGCCCAAGGAAGAGAGGGAGAGAGAGCAAUACAGAGGAGAGGGAGGAGAGAGAGAGAGAGAGAGAUAUGCUGGCUGCCUUCCUGCUCCUUUCAGAUGAUAAACGAUCAGAGAUGCAUCCUAGCUGAGAGGAGACGGCCUUUUAGUGAGCAUGUGUCCACUAAUUUAUGGCCUUGCUAUCUGAUUAGGUCAAUAUAGUGUGCUAUUUAAUUACAUUUGUGUUAUAACCUAGAACUGGAGAUACUAUACUUCUUUCAUGUCACCCCUUUCUUAUGUGAGCCUGAUAGGAUUAGCGAGGUUUCCUCUGGACUUUGCUCAGGACGGCUCUACCUGUUUGUACAACAACAGUUUUGUGAAUUUGUUAAGUAGCAGAUCGAGGGCUGCUUUGUGUCACGGUUCGCAGGCUUCUAGGGUUUGUGCUCCGGCAUCAAUGCGUAAGAAGGAUAAAACGGAAAAUUGCUGAUCAUUGUAGGGCUGUGGAAAUUGUGUGGGAUGCUGGUUGUUUGUGGGUGUGUUUUGACCUCUAGACACACCGAGGGGCUGCGGGAUUUAGUAGUACUGAUUCACUUCCUGUUUUGGAGGAGGACAGAAUGCACAGGAAACAACAAUUCAGGGCUUCCUUCUCACUUCUCAGCAGCCAUAAUCACUGCUUCUUUCGCUGUGUUUUGCUUCCUCUGUUAUUUGCACAGCAUGAAAAAGUGUGUACACGCACCCUAUAGACACUCCACGUUAUUAAUCUUAUCAGUAUGAACUGUAAUUCUGUUCUCUGGCCCAGCAUAUUGACUUCUUCACUGUGAUCAUUUGCAGUCUGUCCAAUGAUUAGGUUAUUAAAGAUAAUGUAGUUGUCUGCUGUCACAAUAUUGGACUCUCCCUUUCAGGUCAACUAUGGGAAAUCACUCUGAAAUUUAUCAGUAUUGACAUUUAAAUCAUCAUCAUGUACUUUGCUUUAAUGUCUCAGAAUUAAUAGGACAAAAGGAUAUGCACAGUGGUUAGUGUCUGUUCGUGUGAGUGCUCAAUAACCUGCCUGCAUUGUCUUUUAUGUGACCUUGUUGCGGAAGCGUGUAUGUUCGCUUUAAGGGAGAGUGGUAAAUCUGUAAGAAUGAGUCGUCGUGUCAUGAAAUUCAGAUAUUUGUAGUCUUCGUUGUGUAAUGCUAAAAAUAUGAAGCCAUGCAUUUAAUCUUUUUUUUGUAGUAAAAUACAAUUGCAAUUCAUUCAAGAGCAACUCAGUUAAAGUUUAAGCCCUUGCAGUAGAUCGUUACAGUUGUACCUGUGUUUGUUUUUCAUAAUGUAAAAAUAUAUGUUAUCAUUUCAUUCAGAGCUAUCACCAACCACUGACUUAAAAAAAACAAAAAACCUGCUCUUUUACCAAAAUCUGCAUGGGAUCUGCAUGUCUCAUUCAUUCAGCACGGCAACACGGCAGUUUUUACAUGUGCACGUUCAUUCUCUGUCAUUCUCUGCGAACGCUUCCUUCCCAAGCGUGGCAAACCCCUGAAAAGGGUUAAAAACAUUUUCGUAUUCACAAGAGGAAACAAUUUCAAUCUCUCCUACUCAUUCCGCAUCUGCAUCACUCCACACGAUAAACAUUUACAUUUAAAGUGAUUUAAAUCGGCUGCCUUUAUGCUCCUCUGUGGUCCGUCCAUCAUCUUAGACCCGCAGUGCCCGAGCUUCUCUUCCUCUCGCACCCUCUCGCAGUGUCCUGAGUUAUGUCAUUUAUUUAAAAAGCUUAAUAAUUUAACUUGUCCGUCCUGUCACGGCUAUGCAUGUGGUAAAAAAGCAGUGGCUGUAAAACGUUGGUGGUGUUUCCUGUGAAUGUUUCUGAUUGGCUUUGCAUGCUUAUAUUUUUUUUCCACAGGCCAAAUACAAUCAUGGGCAGAGUGAUUGAAAUGUGAUUGUGUGGAUCCAAAUCUACAGUGUUGCGCGUUAAAUUGAGACAGCUGUAAAUGCAGAGAUGCAAAAGAAUGUGCUUAUAGACACUGGAGUAGAUUUGCAUUUGCUUGUGUAGGAAGCUGUCCUCAGAAUGCAUAACUAAAGGGCAAUAGAUGAAAGCUAAUUAUGAUUUAAUUAUAGGGGAUCACAAUAUUCUGACUUGCAGAUAAACAUAACUGAGGCUGUGUUGAUGUUUUCAACAGUGAGUUGAGUUUCAGGGCACAGAGUCAGUGAAGUGGUGUGUUUUGGACCGCGGCGAACGUGGUUUCGGGGAGGGUGGGUGUUUGACAAGUGAGUGCAUUAUGCGACUGUGUGGGUGGGUGUGUGAGAAGCUGUCUGUGUGCAUGUUUAGGUCUGGCUAUGCAUGAGUUUGUUUUAUGCAGGGUGGAGCUGGAGCCAAGCCCGACCCCUGUGUGUUUUACCUGCAUCUCAAUGAAGCAAGAGGUGAUUUACCCUUCUGCUGCAGCCACUCUCUCUUCCUCUGUCUCUCUCUCUCUCUGUCAGUCAGUCCAGUAGACAUUGAUCUCUUUGCCAAGCAAGGUGACCGACAGUGUUUUCAGCUCUUCCAAAGUCUCUGCUUUCCCUUUCAUUUGUACCUGGGAAAGGCCUUGACCCCACACGUUGCCACUAUGUUGUGGCCUUCUGCACAUGGACCUCACUUCCCUUGUAUAAAGCCCUGUUUGCAUGUGUGUGUCAGUGCGUGUCUGUUUGAGUUAGAAAGUGGACAUGCAUGUCGACGCUUUGUGUCUACGUGUUUCUGACCCUGUGCCUAACCAGCUCUGUGUUUACUUUCACGAACAGGUGCAUGCAGUUCUUUGCAGAUUCACUUCUAUGGGGCUUUAUUUAAACUGCUGUACAUCUGGGAGUCUCUCCAUACUUUGGUGCUUUUUAAGGUCUUCUCUGUGCUGCAGGUCUGUAACUGGGAGCUGCUUCGUACCCGAACGCGUCAGAGUUCAUUUGGUGCCAGUGUGAAUCGGAUUACAGGGAAAUGAAUGGCUUUCAUUGUUGCUUAAAGAUGGAUUGAGGGGCAUUAAACAUCCUUCUUUUGCCUCAUUUCUCACUCUCAGAAGCAAAAAGUUUUUUAUUUUUUUUAGUGUGAUUCAUUACUCAGGUUUCCUUUAUUCACCGUCAUCGCUGCCGUGUCUUCAUAUAAUGUCCACAGGUGUGCAGAUCAUGUGUGCAAAAAUAUGCAAGUACCCUGCUGUGGGACACCUAUAAACACUGAUGAAUGACGUCAAGAAAAUUCCUCCAUCUGUGAUAGAGAGCUGUGCCCUCUCGGCCCCGCCACCCUGGAGUCUGAGAUAUCAUGACACUGGAAUGCUGUUUCAAGACCAACCUACAGCAUCCGGACUGCCAUAAAGCACAAUGUCUCAAAAGCGUCCCACCCCCUGUGGCUUCAGGGCAACCAAUCCACAGCAAAUCCAAAGCCGGAGUUCAAUACUAAAGUGGAUGAUUUAAAAACAAAACAAAAAAGGAGAACUGAAGAAAUUAAAGAUCCUGGACUCUGUAAAUAAAAUUCUCCACCUUCUGUAUUUGUCAUUCAAAUGGACAAAGAUUAACCCGUAAAUAUCUCCAAAUUGUAACUUACCAGAGCAUAGAUUGUCAAUACUUAGGUUGAGUAAAGUAGCAGAAAAAAAUAUGAUGUCCACCCCCCCCUUUAGCACAUGGCCAGAAAUCAGGAUGUUGUAAAUACUGUACAGAAAACAAAUAGGGACACUGAUAAGAAAUAUAAGUAUUGCAAAAUUGUGUACAUAGCCAUUAGAAUCAUACCUCUACUGUGUUUAUAAUUCAAUAAGUUUCACAUGCCCAUUAUUAUUUAUUUCUUCUUACCCAAAAAGAUUUAGCACAACGAUUAGCAAACGCUCUCUGUAUCAGAAUAGGAAACAUAAACACCAACAUAGAACUAGACGAGAGGACACUGAACUUAGAGACAUUAAUUGGGAAGACAUUAUAUUUGCUGAUAGCCCACUAUUGCUGGAAUCAGAUGCAUAUGCCGUAGAGUGUAUGCUUAAUAGUUAAACCUUGUAUUGUUAUCAAAACAGCUCAUUUGCAUUUUGUUUACAUUGUUUACAACUAAUUUAAGUAGACGUUUGAGGAAAAAAAGGACUUUAGAGCUUAAAAAGGUUACAGAGACAAACAGACAAAGAACAAACUGUGACAGGUUCGGCUCAGAUCUUCCCCUUUCCCCCACUCCCGGUUUUAAAAUACUACAGCAGAGCUUAACUUCACUUAAACUUUAACUAAUUCAAUAGAUUGUAUAUGAAAUCCCCUCCUGUGCUGUAUAUUUAGUGUUUUAGACGCUGUAGUGAUGUGACAUAUCCAGAUGGGCUUCCAUGGUUUGGCAGCUCUUACAUAGUGCCGUCAGAGUACAGUUAGUCCACACCUAACGAAACAUCAGCUGUUUCCUUUCUGAUUCCUCUUUGGCUAGUUGCCCUCCUCUUCCUCUUCGUCUUCUGUCCAUUAGAGGGCCUGUAUGCCCACUGACCUCUCUGCAACCAGGCGCUCGCUCAGCUCCCACAGGCUGGCAGCACUGCUCGGAUCCUGGGCCUGGGCAGAUGGCUGGCAGCGGAAGCAGUUGUUGAAGUACAUGCCGCCCAGCCCUUCCAGCUCCGGUGCUACCGCACAGUACACUGUGGUGGCCGCCCCUUGUUGCUGUGGACAGACAAAAAAAAAAAAACACACAAAAAGAAGAUCAGUGGACGACUCACGACGCUGAGACAGCAAGGCGGCGUCAGCCUGCAGGAGCAGACAAAAUAUGGAGAACUCAUCUAAUGACAGGCAGACUUUAGGAUGUGUGCUGUAUGGAGGAAAAGACAGAGGACAUAAAGCAGACUCUGACCACAUUCCUUUGUCCUCUGUGAGACCCACACACACAUAGACGGACACAUGCAUACACACAAACACACACAGACAAAAAGAGACAGCAGGACUGUGUCUACAGGGGGGGAAAAAAAAGACUCGUGCACACGCUGUCUCUCCCCACUCCCUGCAUCCCGAUGACUGGGUCAUAUAACUCCUUACUGUAUAUAUAUUUAUAUACAUAUAUUUAUUUAUUUAUUCCUCUGCCAGGUGUGUAUAGGACAUCUCGCUAUAUGGGACCAUGUGAAUGCUACAGAUGUAUAGACUCACAGUGGAUAAGGCAGGAACAAAAAUAUUACACCAGCUCCUGUCUGGAUGGGAAUCACCAGGGAAACUACAGCUCUGAUGUGCGAUGUGUGAACAGCAGGUUUCAAUGCCAUGAUUAUCAAUAUGUAUAUUUUUCACGUGAUGUUUAUUAAUAUUCAAGUGCUGGAAAAUACAAGUACAACUAAGUAUUUAAAUCAAAAGUUUUUUGGUUGUUGCGUACAACACACAAACACGUCGCACGGUUUUCCCUCCAGUUCUUUCUCAGUAAUUCUCCUCUCAAGGCAAGUUUAAACCUGAAGAUCACUCAGCCCAGAAAAAUCACUCUGUUACACGUCGUCUCAAGCCGAGACGCGCUGUAAAAGUGAAACAGUAUUUUUACGCAACCUGCUAAGUUCUCUAAUACACCCCAUCCCAUCAGUCAGUAAUUAGCAGGGAUAUUCAUGGAGGGAGAUUUCUGUGACAUUUGAAAAUGAAAGCUGAAACUGCGGCAGAAUAAACACGUCAGAGAGAAUUACACACAUAACCCGACCGCUCAAAGAGGGAUCUUUCAUGCUGCAGCUCCGGCUAAAAGCUGCUGUGACAGCUUCCCUGCAAACUCCAGGGCUGGAGACGACUUCUAUGCGGCCACAUGAAAUGGCUCGCCUCUUUAUCUCCUGAUGUGAGGGAGCGAGAGUGAGACGGGGGUGGGGGCAGAAAGAAUGAGAGGGAACACUGAUGUGAUGACUGAAGACUAGUGUUUAGCACAGAGCACUGGCACACACUGAGACAGCCACGUAUAUGCAGUAGUCAAACGCGGGCAACACACACAAACGUACACAUAUGCGUAAUGGAGGCACAUUACAGGCCAACUGUUUGAACAGAUUCCCAAAGCACAGGCCAGCACACUAAAAGUGGCAAGAUCCUAUGUCAUCUAAAGCAUUUAUGCUUUCACAGCCUAGUACAAAAAUAUGCACCAAAAUGCAAAUGCUACGAACACAAAAACACACACACAUAAAGCAGAUUCCAGGAAAUGUUUCUCUCAUCGACACACGCAAACCAAAACGGGCACCCACACACAACUCCCUCUAAGCUCUGAGUAAAGUUCCACCAGGAGGAGCCCUGGUGUGUAACGUCGCAGAAGCAGAUUGAGCGUGUUUGAAGUGCUCCGUGAUGAGAGAGCUCGUAAACAGCAGAUGAAAAAGGCAGCAUCUCUCUGUGUGCCGCUGUCUGUCUCACCUGCCAGUGAGGCGAUAACUUCAUCCACAUCACAUGUCGCCAGAUCAAAGGCCGACAAAUGCCAAGCAGUGUCUCUGAGUUGCAGGUUCACACGCACUCAGUUCAACUCAUCUCUCUCACUUAGGGCAUCUGAUUUAGCUCGUCUGAAAGCCAAAUGCCUUUUAAACUUCACUGAAGAUUUCAGUGCCGCCGGCUCUGACUCCCUGACACCACCUUGAACUUGGCUGACUUUCAGACGAGUUUGUUUGCGUCCAAUUACCAAACAGUUGGGUUUAAAUAUUGAUAUAAAAAAAAAAACAACUUUCAUGUACAGAAUCGAGAUUUAUGUGGCUGAAAUCUGAAAGGCAUUUCUAUUCUUUAGAAAAGGCUUCUCUGCUGGCUGCCACGCAUGCAGUUAGUGACAAACGGAGCAGUACACGGGCUGUUUGUGCGGUGUGCCCAGCAAUGUGCUAUCUUAUUGGUGUUUAGCUCAUCCCCCUCACCACUUGACCUUGUGACCUCUGUAAAAGAUAAGGCUGAUGAGAUUAGGCAUUAACAUGCUCAACCACCCACCACAGCCAUUUAUCACUGUGUGUGUGUGUGUUUGCAGAUACCUGGCAAGUAGGUGGUGGGCAACGAUUUCGCUACACUUACAGUUACACACAGCCUGAACACAAGAGUGUAUCUGCGCUCAAGCACGAACAGGUACACACAUGAACAACCACCCAGAAGGUAAUGUCACUAAACCAGUGCGCGUCGAACACAUCUUUGCCGUCCAAAGAUGAUUUCUAAUCCAAGUUCAACUGUAGAUUAGGUCUGUAAAUUAAGCUGUCUACAAAAUGAUGGGUGUGUGUCUGUCUAUACUGUGCACCUUAAUGUGAAGCAUUACCUUGACUACAGUAGUUUUAUUGUCAGAGAGACAUCUAUGGUACCCAGAGCUACGACGUCUACCCAGAGAAGCUGACUUGACACUAACUUAAGCUCCAAAAAAUAAGACUUGUCCUUGGAUACUCUUCCGGAAUCGGCCUCUUAAGCCAUUUUAGUCCAAAAAAUAAAAAGUGAGACAAGUAUAGGAAUGCAGUUACAAAUGUGACUUUAAAUGCUUUAAGAGGGAACCCUUUACAUCCUUUAGACGACCAUCUUGCAAUUCCUAUGAACACUUUAGACUUAAGCAUGACUUCAGACUUCACUUUCACAUUCCCCAAAACAAAACUAGCUCUGUUACCACCACACUGAUUCUAGGAGGGAGGGAGGGAGAGAGGAAGGGAACAGACAAGGAGGAUCCAAACCAACCAAAACAACUCCAAACCGAAAAUGUUUCUCUAUGCUAAAAAUAAAAUGCAAAGAUCUCAGCAAUAUGAUAAACCAGUGCCGAGUGCAGAAGCAGGUUUUAUAGAUUACGUGUGUGUAGAUCUUCCUUUGUGGGUAAUAAAAAUAAACAUAAAUACUGAGGAAAGACUUACAAAACACCCUGCAAUAAGCUGACUGCUGAUAAGUGGCAAUAAGCCUGUACUUAGCCUGGGAUUCAACACUCCGGUUCUGGAACUGCUCUGGGACCAGAUCCAAGUCUUCCAAUCUCAGCAUUGACUCAAUACCCAAGGACCUCAUGGACUUGCAAUAGAAAUGUCCUUGUAUAGUGUUACGCAAUAACCAGUUGUUGAGAACAUCUUACUGAGCGUAUCAAAAGCAAAAAGGGUACGUGGGGGAGAUGUGAUGUUGAAUUAACAGUAUUGUUACUUUGCCGUGUUCUGUUUUGUGUCUUCAUCGUCCGAGUUGUAUAAGCUUUCUCUGACCCUGUGCAUGUGACCCUUCGACCCCCACAUCUGUAGUUAUGUCAUUGAUCUCUCCCUCUGACCUGGAUGUAAAUAACCCAGUACUGUAGAGCAGUCUGUUUUUGGCCCAUCCCUGUACAUACAAACCUGUAAAUACUAAUGGCUAUGCAUGCUGAACACCUAGCAAUUCUUUCAGGUACUUUUAUAAUCCCCAAAUUCUCAUAUGGCAUGUGCUAUAAAAAAUAAUAUAAAAAAGUAGAAAAAGUAAAAGAUUCAAAUAAAAAAAAAAAAGUUUAAAAUAAAUGCGUUGGUAAUAUUGUCAGGCAAUAUCCUCUCUUGGACAGUGUGUGUAGAGUCUUCCUGUUUUCUUACUCCUGUGGGUGGUUCUCUCCCUUUGCCUGUCCUGUGUUUCUGCUCACCAUCUGUGUCAGUUGUUGUCAGUUGGCAUUUGUACAGCAGCGAGGGUUGAGGCAGAGAAUAGAAGAGAGGGGGAGUGUUCACCAGCUGACCUCUGUGAUGGCACUCCAAUUCAGCAGCAGUGCUAAGUGUUGGCAAAGCGCUUUGCGCCUGGGACACAAUUUGAAAAGUUUGUUCCUGGCCCGAAGCACACAUACUGUACCAGCAUACUGUAAAUCAGUGUUUGCAGUGUGAAGGCCCUCUAUAUAUGUGCAAAGGUACAAAUUGGGUGUUUUUCUAAGUUUAAUAAUCUGGAGAACUGACUAUUUUUAGCCCAUUUUAGACAGUCCCAUUUUAGGAAAACUGACAUGUUUUCUGUCCUCAUUUGUAACCAGUAAAACACCUGAAUUCUAAA